rnacentral:rRNA from 1 species
GGGAGCCUGAGAAACGGCUACCACAUCCAAGGAAGGCAGCAGGCGCGCAAAUUACCCAAUCCCGACACGGGGAGGUAGUGACAAUAAAUAACAAUAUAGGGCCCUUUUGGGUCUUAUAAUUGGAAUGAGUACAAUUUAAAUCCCUUAACGAGGAACAAUUGGAGGGCUAGUCUGGUGCCAGCAGCCGCGGUAAUUCCAGCUCCAACAGCGUAUANNNAAGUUGUUGCAGUUAAAAAGCUCGUAGUUGAAUUUCGGGGUUAGUAGGUUGGUCAUGCCUCUGGUAUGUACUGGUCUCACUGAUUCCUCCUUCCUUAUGAACCGUAAUGCCAUUAAUUUGGUGUUGCGGGGAAUUUGGACUGUUACUUUGAAAAAAUUAGAGUGUUUAAAGCAAGCUAACGCUUGAAUACAUUAGCAUGGAAUAAUGAAAUAGGACGUUCGAUCUUAUUUUGUUGGUUUCUAGGAUUGACGUAAUGAUUAAUAGGGAUAGUUGGGGGCAUUAGUAUUCAAUUGUCAGAGGUGGAAUUCUUGGAUUUAUUGAAGACUAACUACUGCGAAAGCAUUUGCCAAGGAUGUUUUCAUUAAUCAAGAACGAAAGUUAGGGGAUCGAAGACGAUCAGAUACCGUCGUAGUCUUAACCAUAAACUAUGCCGACUAGGGAUCGGAUGAUGUUAAUUUUUUAAUGACUCAUUCGGCGCCUUACGGGA